rnacentral:snRNA from 1 species
AUCGCUUCUCGGCCGUUUGGCUAAGAUCAAGUGUAGUAUCUGUUCUUAUCAGUUUAAUAUCUGAUACGUCCCCUACACGGGGAUUAUAUAUUAAAUAGAUUUUUGGAACAGGGAGAUGGAAUAGGGGCUUGCUCCGCCCACUCCACGCAUCGACCUGGUAUUGCAGUAUCUCCAGGAACGGUGCACUCCCU